CAAACAGUCUGGAUAUAAUACCUUUCAGCGGUAAAGUGUCUAGGAUCAGGUCCCCCAUGUUAUUAAUUAGGACGUUAAGGGGCAACACUGAUCCUAGAUCAGCACUCUAACUCUGAGACACUUUGUGAAUACAGGCUCUGAUUAAGUUCUAGAUUCCCCAAGAUGUAUUUAUUCUUUUUGUCCUGGUCCUUUGGUUUUGGCUAGAUGGGGUACAGCUACGGACAGAAGUGACUUUAGCUCAAACUUCUACAGUUGUCCCCGAAGCGACUGGAUCAUGCAACUUUUGGUCAGUCGUUGUACUCCAUCUAGCCAAAACUACACCGCCCUCUGGGACUCCCAAUAAUGGCCUGUUGUGAUACAGCUUGGAUAGAAUAUCUUUUAAGAGGCAGAUUCUUGUGAAUUUGUAAAUCUCUCUAUUAUAGGAGGCUGAGAACAUUUGUCCAACACAAUCUUUCUUCAAUGUUCGAUGCUCCAAAUCUGUGAAAUGGUUCUCUUGGAGAAUCGCUUUAAGCACCUUUUUCUUCUUUAGAAAUGAAAUAAUGUUUGUUUGUUUUUUAACAGGAGAACGCCUCCCUUUUAUGUUCGUAGAUAAUACUAGCCAUCUAGAUAUGAAAUGAUUGAAUAAAUAUUGAACUCUAUAUUCCCUUUUAUUUUAUCCAUCUGAUAGGAGUAUGUACUUUUCACCAACAUUUCCAGAGAUAUGUACUAUAUAUUGUCUAAUUGUCUUUAUACAAACACUACAAUUACAACCAACAUAAAAUACAAAAAAAAGAACUAUACAAAACUUCAGUAUGUGGUGAAAGAAAGGGAGACUAUUGCUUACAUUAGGUGAUAAAUUGCUUCGUGUUUGUUCUUAAGACGCUGCUCUGAUCCAGCUUAACCUCACCCUCUCUUGUUGGACACAAAUGCUAUUGUCUGUCAUUCUAUCUGCUCACGCACAGAUAUCAAACUAUUUCCAUCUCUGUGUGUUCACCUCUCUGGUCGCUCUAGAUUCUCCAUUUACAGUUAACCUUAUAACAGGUUGAUGCUUGGGAGGAUACUUUGGAUGGCCCAAUCCCACCUAGCAUCAACCUAGCAUCAACCAUAUGGCUAGCUUCCAUAUUAAUGUUAUUGUGUCUUUGAAGGCUAGCCAUAGGCCUAUCAUAGCUCACAUAUAUCACUCUGUUUUCUGGUGGGUUUUUCUGUUCUGAGCAAGUACUUCUUCUAGGGCUCAUUUUGGUUGUUGUUUUGAUCACUUCUGGGCCGGUUGUCACAAAUUGUCUAGGAUCAGGUCCCCCAUGUUAUUAAUUAGGACGUUAAGGGGCAACACUGAUCCUAGAUCAGCACUCUAACUCUGAGACACUUUGUGAAUACAGGCUCUGAUGAAGUUCUAGAUUCCCCUAGAUGUAUUUAUGAUUUUGUUCUGGUCUUUUGGUUUUGGCUAGAUGGGGUACAGCUACGGACAGAAGUGACUCAAAAUUCUACAGUUGUCCCCGAAGCGACUGGACCAUGCAACUUUUGGUCAGUCGUUGUACUCCAUCUAGCCAAAACCUGGCGUUUUUUUUUUCUUUGUGUCACUCUUCUUACUUGCUGUGCUUCCUGUUUCAGACUCACACUUCCAGGCCUUCACAGGCUGAUCUGAUUGGCCGUUGCCCGUCUGACCCCUGACCUCUGAGCCUGAGGUAAAGCCCAAACAAAACAGUCUCCUCCUCCAUCAUCAGCCCCUCCCACCUUCACUGUUGCGUCAUCCAUCCCAUCCUGUCACCCCUAGAACACCACUAAACGCUGGGUCCCACCAGCAGCCCGUCUGCUUACUCUCCAAACCACGACCUACCCUGCGUUUUGCCCUCCGAUACUCACCGUAGUAGAAGACCUGAGUAGUAGACCUCUGGUUAUCACCAGAGAACAUAGAGGAUAUAGAAGAGAACGUACAACUGAUUUGUUUUUGCUGUGUUUACAGUAGGCUGUAGGGAUGUUACUAUAACCUAUUCAACAGUGAGAAUGGGUGAACCUUGGAGAGGGAGGCAGGAUGAACAGAUUGGGGGUAGAUGUCGGGGUUUGAUUACAGGAUAGCUAGUAGCUAGUUAACCAAGGAUGAACAGGAUAGCUAGUAACUAGUUAUCCCAAGAUUAACAGGAUAGCUAGUAACUAGUUAUCCCAAGAUGAACAGGAUAGCUAGUAGCUAGUUAACUGAAGAUGAACAGAAUAGCUAGUAGCUCGUUAACUGAAGAUGAACAGAAUAGCUAGUAGCUAGUUAUCCCAAGAUGAACAGGAUAGCUACGAGCUAGUUAACCCAAGAUGAACAGGAUAGCGAGUAGCUAGUUAACUGAGGAUGAACAGGAUAGCUAGUAACUAGUUAUCCCAAGAUGAACAGGAUAGCUAGUAGCUAGUUAACCGAGGAUGAACAGGAUAGCUAGUAGCUAGUUAACCCAAGAUGAACAAGAUAGCUAGUAGCUAGUUAACCGAGGAUGAACAGAUUGGGAUAGAUACGUAUAGAUGUAGACUAGAGAGAGGUGUGCUGUAACUCCCAGCAGCCUUUGCUGUGGCUCUAAUGUUGCGUCCAUAUCCGUUUGCUCCCAACAGGUCAAAGGUCACAUCUCCCAAUGGUGCACCUUGUCUCUCAGCCCGCCCCUUUCAGCUUACUGUUGUCUGUCAGCCCACCCCCCCCUGGCGUACUGUACCAGCUGAUCAACACUUUUCAAAGUUUUAUUUGAAAAAGAAAAGUAAACUGACAAAAACAAAUGUAUGUACUUUGUAUGUGUGAGUGUGUGUGUGUACAUAGCUAAAUUAAAUAAAGACUCUUUGUAAAGUAUUUUCAACCAUAAGUAACUCAUCCACAUUAAAUAAUUAGCAUUUUAACGUAUCUUAUAAGAGAAGUGUCCUGGAAAGCAUUUUAAACCAGUUUCAAUACCAUGGAAAUGUAUGAUAAUAAAGUUAUCUAUAUAUGAAUUGAAAGCUGA